UUUUAAUGAUGAAUUAUUUAAAUCAGUUCUGCUACUGACAAGCAUUGACGAUAACCUAUACAGCACAUUCUGAUAA